CGCUCGGCUGAACCGCCAAACUGUUAUAACCGUAAGAUAUCAUGUACCUUCAUGAACAAUCAGACCUGGACCGUCGUAUUACAAGAUCGGUACGUCGAGUAACCACUUCCCAGCCACGCUAAGCGGUAUGAGCACUCUUCUCUCUCAAACUGGUAUGGCGAAAACAACUUGGAGGAACGAUGAAGAUACGAACCGGAACACAGGAACCAGGAAUCCCUAUCAGGAGCCCUGCGAACCACACGAACAGACAAACGAAUACCUUACUUCUCACUUCUGGUCUCGGGUAAUUCAAGGAUCAGAUCAAGGUGAAAGGCGGACAUCUUAGAGGCAUCUGGACGUACGAUGUGGGUACAUCCUCCUUCCCACGUCACCCCCACGAACGAGUCUUGGCCGUGCCAAUAUAAGCCAUCCAUCCUGUACCAUCCCGUGAUUGUGCGAUGCGUGCACCACCCUGCCAUCCUGAUCCAUCCAUCUCCAUCGCGCAAUCCACGCAUGUCCGUCCGAUGCCAAAGAGAUAUACGCCUGAUCCGGUAAAUGUAUGUGAUCGUCAAGCGCUGGCAUCCGGAGGUCCAUGGUGAAGUGGCGAUGUGAGAUCCAGGAUUCAGGAGACUUGGAGAAAAUCGAGAGGAAACGCAAAACCACAACAAACAGACAAAUGCGAAAUUUCAGUGUGCUAUGCAACACAGUCGAAAAUCGCAGUGCAACCGCACAGCACGGCAGUCACACUACACACUGCAUUUCCGGUUGCGAAAACUGCACGCUAUCAAAGCACUGAAUUUUCCUUUUUCGAACAACGUGAAGACGGUCUUCAUCAAACCGACGCCACCCCC